UACGUAGGGUGCAAGCGUUAAUCGGAAUUACUGGGCGUAAAGCGUGCGCAGGCGGUGAGCUGUGUCCGAUGUGAAAGCCCCGGGCUUAACCUGGGAAUGGCAUUGGAAACUGGCUUGCUGGAGUGCGGCAGAGGGGGGUGGAAUUCCGCGUGUAGCAGUGAAAUGCGUAGAGAUGCGGAGGAACACCGAUGGCGAAGGCAGCCCCCUGGGUCGACACUGACGCUCAGGCACGAAAGCGUGGGGAGCAAACAGG
rnacentral:rRNA from 1 species